AACGAACGCUGGCGGCAGGCCUAACACAUGCAAGUCGAGCGCAUUCUUCGGGAUGAGCGGCGGACGGGUGAGUAACACGUGGGAAUAUGCCCUUCUCUACGGAAUAGUCCUGGGAAACUGGGGGUAAUACCGUAUACGCCCUUUUGGGGAAAGAUUUAUCGGAGAAGGAUUAGCCCGCGUUGGAUUAGGUAGUUGGUGGGGUAAUGGCCUACCAAGCCUACGAUCCAUAGCUGGUUUGAGAGGAUGAUCAGCCACACUGGGACUGAGACACGGCCCAG
rnacentral:rRNA from 1 species